rnacentral:lncRNA from 1 species
CUGGUUAUAGAGUUUCAUCAAGAGAUGGUGGGUUUUAUGACUGGGGAGGGAAAGCUGCUCCCUUCAACACACAACAUUACCGUGGCAUUCAGGCUCGUGGCUCGCCCGUUCUUGCAACGUUCCCUCCCUCCCCUGCCCCGAGGUCCUUUAGCUCCCAAGGGCAGCAGGGAUCGAGGUGGAUGUGGCCAGGUUCAGAGCCAAACCAGUGCACCUCGAACCAUCUUUGAGGAUGUGCUUUGGCAAACCCUCCAGGAUGGGAGGGAGCUGUGGGUGGGGUGCUUGGAUGGGUGUUAAAGCAGGUGAGUGUUGCUGGCACGUUUACAUGAGGGUGGUCUGAAGGAAGAAACAAGAAAGAAAUGAAAGUUAAAGGUGCCUCCUUGUUCUGCUGAGGUUUGUUGGUAUCAAUCAAUUGGGCUCUUCCUUAUCCCAGUCUGGAACCCUGCCUGGGGGGGGUUGUUAGCUUCUGCUUUUGGCUUUUGAUUCUUUUUGCGACUUCACUGAGGAUGGUGCUACUUCAAAGGUUGAAUUUGGAAUCUCACUUGGCUACUGUUUGGGCAAACUCCUGCUUGAGUUAGGAUGUGCACCCAGCCCGGUCUCCUCUUGAAGCCCUCCCUGUCGGGGUGGUGGUGGCCUCUCUGAGCAGCACCCUCCUUGGUGGUAAACACCCAGUGGUGGGGAACAUGAGGCUGUUGCAGCAGUUGAUCUUGCAGGGGGAGAGACUGGGCUUUGGCAGCCUGUGGCUCAGUGCCUGGCCCUGGGCAGGCUGGAAGCCACAGUUGGGGGUGAAGCAGCUGCUCUGAGCUCGGAGAAAGGUCAGGAACUGGGAGAGCAGAACCCUGGCAACCAAGCAUGCACUAGAUGCUACGGAAGCUUCUCUGCUUGUAUUUAUAAGCCAGCCUAUCCACAUGCCUCACUAACCCAACGCUCUGCCCCUUCGAGCUGUUGUAGAUCUGCCGUUACAGUUUUGCAGUGUUCACUAUAACCUUUAUUUAUAAAGCCAGGAGGUCUCACUUGUCUGGAGCUGUCAAGUGCAGAGUUAGUUGAGCUGCCUUCUAGUUUCUGUUUCCUUUUGGCUGAAACCUGAACUCGACUGCAGGAAUGGAAAUUUGUUCCUUUGUGAGCUGAUGAGCGCUCUUAACUUUAAAUAAUAAACCAACAAAUGGCUGC